CACGUAGGGCGCAAGCGUUGUCCGGAAUUAUUGGGCGUAAAGAGCUCGUAGGCGGUCUGUUACGUCUGCUGUGAAAACCCGGGGCUUAACCCUGGGCUUGCAGUGGAUACGGGCAGACUAGAGGCAGGUAGGGGAGAAUGGAAUUCCCGGUGUAGCGGUGAAAUGCGCAGAUAUCGGGAGGAACACCGGUGGCGAAGGCGGCAUCCUGGACCAACACUGACACUGAGGAGCGAAAGCCAGGGGAGCAAACGGG
rnacentral:rRNA from 1 species